GGUUGGAUGGCCGAGCGGUCUAAGGCGCCAGACUAAGGAUCCGCUUCCUUGUGAAGCAAUAUUGCCUCUUCUGAGGCAUCUGGUCCGAAAGGGCGUGGGUUCGAAUCCCACUCCAAUCA